AGCCCUCCCCACCUGCCCAGCAAUUUACUCUUAAAAAGGUGGCUGGAGCUAAAGGCAUAGUCAAGGUUAAUGCUCCUUUUUCUUUAUCCCAAAUCAGAUAGCGUUUAGGCUCUUUUUCAUCAAAUAUAAAAAUCCAGCCCAGUUCAUGACUCAUUUGGCAGCAACCCUGAGGCACUUUACAGCCCUAGUCCCUAAAAGGUCAAAAGGCCGUCUUAUUCUCAAAAUACAUUUUAUUACCCAAUCUGCUCCCGACAUUAAAUAAAACUCCAAAAAUUAAAUUCCAGCCCUCAAACCCCACAACAGGAUUUAAUUAACCUCGCCUUCAAGGUGUACAAUAAUAGAAAAAAGUUGCAAUUCCUUGCCUCCACUGUGAGACAAACCCCAGCCACAUCUCCAGCACACAAGAACUUCCAAAUGCCUGAACCGCAGCGGCCAGGCGUUCCUCCAGAACCUCCUCCCCCAGGAGCUUGCUACAAGUGCCAGAAAUCUGGCCACCAGGCCAAGGAAUGCCUGCAGCCCAGGAUUCCUCCUAAGCCGAGUCCCAUCUGUGUGGGACCCCACUGGAAAUCGGACGGUCCAACUCACCUGGCAGCCACUCCCAGAGCCCCUGGAACUCUUGCCCAAGGCUGACUCCUUCCCAGAUCUUCUUGGCUUAGCGGCUGAAGACUGAUGCUGCCCGAUCGCCUCGGAAGCCCCCUAGACCAUCAGAGACGCCGAGCUUCGGGUAACUCUCACAGUGGAGGCUACACAUCCAGAUGGCCGGUUCCUGCCUUAACUGAUGACAUUCCACCACAAAAGAAGUGAAAAUGGCCUGUUCCUGCCUUAACUGAUGACAUUGCCUUGUGAAAUUCCUUCUCCUAGCUCAUCCUGGCUCAAAAGCUCCCCUACUGAGCACCUUGUGACCCCUACUCUGCCCGCCAGAGAACAAACCAACCCCCCUUUGACUGUAAUUUUCCUUUACCUACCCAAAUCCUAUAAAACGGCCCCACCCCUAUCUCCCUUCGCUGACUCUCUUUUCG
rnacentral:antisense_RNA from 1 species